GGAGAGGUGGCCGAGCCUGGCUGAAGGCGCCCGCCUGCUAAGCGGGUGUACGGGUUUAAAGCCCGUACCGCGGGUUCGAAUCCCGCCCUCUCCGCCA
rnacentral:tRNA from 1 species